UGGGGAAUAUUGCACAAUGGGCGCAAGCCUGAUGCAGCCAUGCCGCGUGUGUGAAGAAGUCCUUCGGGUUGUAAAGCACUUUCAGCGGGGAGGAAGGCGAUAAGGUUAAUAACCUUGUCGAUUGACGUUACCCGCAGAAGAAGCACCGGCUAACUCCGUGCCAGCAGCCGCGGUAAUACGGAGGGUGCAAGCGUUAAUCGGAAUUACUGGGCGUAAAGCGCACGCAGGCGGUCUGUCAAGUCGGAUGUGAAAUCCCCGGGCUCAACCUGGGAACUGCAUUCGAAACUGGCAGGCUAGAGUCUUGUAGAGGGGGGUAGAAUUCCAGGUGUAGCGGUGAAAUGCGUAGAGAUCUGGAGGAAUACCGGUGGCGAAGGCGGCCCCCUGGACAAAGACUGACGCUCAGGUGCGAAAGCGUGGGGAGCAAACAGG
rnacentral:rRNA from 1 species